ACUGAGAUGCUGUGUAACUGUCAGACGCAGACUGUCGGUCACACUCUCCUGGGAAAAAGCAGAGACUAAAGGGGUUUUUUAUUAGAUUUUUUUAAAGUGGACGCCAUACACAGUAUCAGUUCCCCAAAAAAAAUAUUUUUCAGAGGGAAUAUCGAAUUAUAGGAAAACCUACUGGAGAGAUGACAGUCAGCUCCCGCUUCAUGUUACAAAGAAUUUAUGGACUUUUAAAACAUCUAAUAUGAAAAACUGACUUUGUGACCGGAACUAUGAGGUGGAACGCAUAUUUGGAAUGCAAGCCGGCGCUAGGACGAGGGCCGACUUCUGGUAAAAGUCACUUCCGCCUCCCUCACAUGAAAUGAAGCACCGGAUAUUGUUUCAGAUACCCACCAAAGGACGUAUCAUAUCUCUAUCGCAAUUUAUGAAUCAUCUGGAACAGAUGUUGGUCUAAUUCAUCAAAAUUAAAAGCUUAGUAUAUUUUA